CCUACGGGGGGCAGCAGUGGGGAAUAUUGCACAAUGGGGGAAACCCUGAUGCAGCGACGCCGCGUGAGUGAAGAAGCGUUUCGGCGCGUAAAGCUCUGUCAGCGGGGAAGAAACACGGUUCGCGAGAGCCGCGGACGGUACCCGACCAAGAAGCCCCGGCUAACUACGUGCCAGCAGCCGCGGUAAUACGUAGGGGGCAAGCGUUAUCCGGAUUCACUGGGUGUAAAGGGAGCGUAGACGGUAAUGCAAGUCUGGAGUGAAAGGCGGGGGCCCAACCCCCGGACUGCUCUGGAAACUGUGUAACUGGAGUGCAGGAGAGGCAGGCGGAAUGCCUAGUGUAGCGGUGAAAUGCGUAGAUAUUAGGAGGAACACCAGUGGCGAAGGCGGCCUGCUGGACUGUAACUGACGUUGAGGCUCGAAAGCGUGGGGAGCAAACAGGAUUAGAUACCCCAGUAGUC
rnacentral:rRNA from 1 species